UGCACCGCCGACCGACCUUGAU
rnacentral:siRNA from 1 species